rnacentral:lncRNA from 1 species
UCUUGAUUCAUUUUGAGUUAAUUUUUAUAUAUGAUAUAAGGUUAAAAGUCCAACUUCAUUCUUUUGCAUAUGGAUAUCUAGUUUUCUCACCACCAUUUGUUGAAAAGUCUGACCUUUCUCCAUUGAAUGAUUUUGGCACCCUUGUCUCAGUCUGUGUCUUAACGGCUUUGCAUUCUGGAGGUGAUGGAACAGAAACCCACCUGGGGAUGACAAGAGGCAGAGGUUGUGACAAUAGAAAAAAUUCUUUGCAGACAUUUUGCUUUGAAGGAGAGCAAAGAAAUUGGAGGAAGAUAUGGAAUAUUGAUUUCCCUUUCUUUUAGUAGUUCAUGAGCUUCUUUUGAGGAAUCUCUGCUCUCCCAUGCUCAGCGCGUAUGGUUUGAGAGGGGCUCAGGCCCUAUCUCCACUGGUGCACAUGACCCAGCUUGGCCACCUGGAGCGUCACAUCCCCUAGCCAUGUUAUUGGUUAAGAAAUAGGCUUGUGACUUGAGUUGGUACAAUCCUGAAUUUUUGGGGGAGCUGCAGGGGACAUACUCUCUCUUUUCCCCUGAGUCUGAAUUUCGGAGGAUGUGCAUCUGGAGCUGCAAGCAGUUACCACACGAGUCCUUAGAACAAGAAGAAAUAUUCUGGAAAGCAGAAGUGACAGAGAGACUCAUCUGCACUCUUG